UAUUAUAGAACCAUUGAAUAGGUUGGGUUGGUAGGGACCCUAAAGAUCAUCUAGUUCCAACUCCCCUGUCAUGGGCAAGGACAUUUUCCACUAGACUAGGUUGCUCAAAGCCUCAGCCAGCCUGGCCUUGAAUGCCCCCAGGGAUGGCGCUUCCAUGACUUCUCUGGGCAACCUCUUCCGGUGCCUCACCACCCUCACAGUAAAAAAAUUCUUCCUUGCAUUUAAUCUAAAUCUACUCUCUUUUGGCUUAAAACCAUUACCACUUGUCCUAUCGCUGCACUCCCUGAGAAAGAAUAUCUCCCAGUUUUUCCUGUAGGUCCCCUAUAAUUUCCCGAAGGCUACUAUACAUUCUCUACAGAGCCUUCUUAUCUCUAGGCUAAACAAGCCCAACUCUCUCAGCCUGUCCUCGUAUGGGAGAUGCUCCAGCUCUCUGAUGAUCUAUGUGGCACUCCUCUGGACUUCCUCUAACAGAUCCACAUCCUUCCUGUGCUGAAGGCUUCAGAACUGAACACAGUACUCCAGUAUCUACAGGAAGCGUGUGUCUGGAGAGCUGACACGAUGAUUCCAGGCUACACUGAGUAUGUGUGGUUAGGGGAGACCAAAUUAAGGGAGUUGAAGGAGACAAUAAUGGGAUGAAGAAAUCCUGGAACUACAAAUGAAGACUGGGAAAUAAACAGACGGAAAUGGACAUGCCAAGGCAUGAGACCAGAGGUCAAAGGAAGAGACUAGUAUUGCAAUGGCCAGAUGGUGAUAGUGGCAUGACAUUGUGGCCUGUACCGUGUGUCUAUGAGAUCCACGCAUCACUGGAUUGACUCUGUGGGUUUCUCACAGAUUUGUGAGUUAGGCCCUAGGUGUCCCAUGCAAAGUGUUACAGAUGUCAGACGGUUGCUUUGUAUGAUAACGUUUCACUUUCGCAACAAGACUCCUUGGUAUUUUUUUAAUGGCAGUGUAUAAUGCAGUCCAGCUUUUCAACCAACCCAGUAUGAGCUCUAGCGGAGCUUGGGUUAGUUGGAGCUUACACAUGACAGUAAAGUUGGGUUGAAUCAUGUCAUUUAUGAAGAUGGUCUUACUGUCCCCGUUGCUCCUGUCAACAGGGACAGAAAAAUCACUAUGCAGCUGGGAUUCUCAAACACCCAGCUUUGAAAAUAAGUUACCUCACAUCUGGGCAGUCUCUCACUCCCUUUUGGGAAUGUCCUGGGACUGGAAAUGUGAGCCUUUUCAGUAACAGGGAGGGAGAAAAUUUGGUUAUCCUGACUCUCAAGUUCAGCUCUGAAACAUGAAACAUUUCUAUGUAGUGAUUCCUUCAGUAGAAGAGCGGUAAUUUGUGUAUGUAAUAUAAAAAUUAUAUAUUGAAGAUUUGUGGCUAAAUCUAGUCAAGAAUUUC